rnacentral:rRNA from 1 species
GAUGAACGCUGGCGGCGUGCCUAAUACAUGCAAGUCGAGCGAACAGACGAGGAGCUUGCUCCUCUGACGUUAGCGGCGGACGGGUGAGUAACACGUGGAUAACCUACCUAUAAGACUGGGAUAACUUCGGGAAACCGGAGCUAAUACCGGAUAAUAUAUUGAACCGCAUGGUUCAAUAGUGAAAGACGGUUUUGCUGUCACUUAUAGAUGGAUCCGUGCUGCAUUAGCUAGUUGGUAAGGUAACGGCUUACCAAGGCGACGAUGCGUAGCCGACCUGAGAGGGUGAUCGGCCACACUGGAACUGAGACACGGUCCAGACUCCUACGGGAGGCAGCAGUAGGGAAUCUUCCGCAAUGGGCGAAAGCCUGACGGAGCAACGCCGCGUGAGUGAUGAAGGUCUUCGGAUCGUAAAACUCUGUUAUUAGGGAAGAACAAAUGUGUAAGUAACUAUGCACGUCUUGACGGUACCUAAUCAGAAAGCCACGGCUAACUACGUG